GGGGCCUUAGCUCAGCGGUAGAGCAUCUGAUUCCAGUAUCACAUGACUGUUCCAGAAGGUCGUCCGUUCAAUCCGGGCAGGCCUCA